UACGUAGGGUGCAAGCGUUAAUCGGAAUUACUGGGCGUAAAGCGUGCGCAGGCGGUUUUGUAAGUCUGUCGUGAAAUCCCCGGGCUCAACCUGGGAAUUGCGAUGGAGACUGCAAGGCUAGAAUCUGGCAGAGGGGGGUAGAAUUCCACGUGUAGCAGUGAAAUGCGUAGAGAUGUGGAGGAACACCGAUGGCGAAGGCAGCCCCCUGGGUCAAGAUUGACGCUCAUGCACGAAAGGCGUGGG
rnacentral:rRNA from 1 species